rnacentral:lncRNA from 1 species
AGCUUCAAAUUUUUAGUUUUCCUUUGCAAGGAUUGAGAAAAUUUUGUUGUGAUUUCUCCUCACAAGACAAGGUACAAGUCUAUAACGUUUUCUCUUUUCUUCUUCAUACAGUUAUUUGACUUAUGUUCACAAAACCAAGUCAGUGUUAAGAUGCCCCUUACAUGUUUGAUAAAAUGUCUGAAAGAUUUUAGCCAGUUUUGUUUCUUUUUGGAUAGUCCCAAUAUUGGAGUAUUCAAUCACUUCCCAGUUCCCACAAUUUACUUUGUGUAUUGUAUAUAGAACUACAAAUGCAAAUGGUGUUCCAUGAUAAUAUAAUAACAUAAAGAACAGACCUUUGUGCACACAAUAAAUUCAGACUUGAAAAAUGCAAAUGCUAAGCAGUUAUUCAACUUUGUCACUUCUUUCUCUUAUGAAAAAACAAUAGUGGAGGUUAUUUGGGAUCAAAUGCUGCAGACUUUUAGAAACAAUAUAGUGAACUUAAUGCCAUUAUAUGCUAGCAUGCUUUUUCAGUUUGUUUAAGCUUAUUCUAUGCAUUCUGUCAACUUCACAUGAGUUAUCCAGAACAGCAACUCAUUGUCAAGAUGCGUGAAGCGAACCAGCACAAUUGCUUUACAAUUCAAAAGAAAACACUUCGCUUGUUUUUUCUAGUUACAAUUUCACAUCAAUGACAAUUUCAAGCGCGGAGAUAUUUUAGUUGGAG